rnacentral:rRNA from 1 species
GACGAACGCUGGCGGCGUGCUUAACACAUGCAAGUCGAGCGGUAAGGCCCUUUCGGGGGUACACGAGCGGCGAACGGGUGAGUAACACGUGGGUGACCUGCCUUCAGCUCUGGGAUAAGCCUGGGAAACCGGGUCUAAUACCGGAUAUGACCUCAUGACGCAUGUUGUGGGGUGGAAAGCCUUUAUGCGGCUGGGGGAUGGGCCCGCGGCCUAUCAGCUUGUUGGUGGGGUGAUGGCCUACCAAGGCGACGACGGUAGCCGGCCUGAGAGGGCGACCGGCCACACUGGGACUGAGACACGGCCCAGACUCCUACGGGAGGCAGCAGGUGGGGAAUCUUGCGCAAUGGGCGAAAGCCUGACGCAGCGACGCCGCGUGAGGGAUGACGGCCU